CAGAGCCAGCCCUACUGAGCAUGUCCUGCAGAUUCAGCUCCUCAGGAUCAUCUUUGCAGAGCAAUACAGGACCUGGAACGAUGGCAUUUGCUUUGUUUCUCUGACUUUCAUCCUGGAAGAUGCCAACCACAGAAUAUGUUGCCUUUUUCUGGCAGUCUGCAGAAUCGGCUGCUUUGACCUUGCUGAAAGGAAAGACAUUUAUGAUUGGGGAACAUGGAGAUGUGGGGGCACAAUGUGCUCAGAGCAGAACAAAAUGCACAGCUUCUUCCUGGAAAAGUUGACAAGAAAAGUAGGACAAACUGGGUGAUACGUGGGAGAAAGGCCAGAUUAUCGUCUGCAUUUUAUACGUGGCAAGUGAGGGGCAACACGACUGAGCAGCUUGACCGAGGUCACGCAGCAAACCUGUGGCAGGGCAGCACAAGCAGAAACCAUCUCUCCCCAGGGCUGGUCCAAAACCUACACCAAGAAAACACACUUCUCUCAAAGGCUCUGCCUGUUAGGAAGCAGCUCAGACUGAGUCAGGAAAGUAUUUGCUUCCCUAUAACAUAUUUUUCCUCUGUCAGAAGAUAAGUAUAUCUUCCGCUGUCUGCUUACUACAGUUGCUGUUUAAUAAAUUAAGUGUCUAAUUA